rnacentral:rRNA from 1 species
GGAAGUAUGUAACGUAAAAAAAUUCUUUAUUAAUUUUUAGUAAAAUUUUUCCAUAUUAGGAUUAGUUCUAAUAUGACGAGUAUUAAAAUUCUAGAUAAAUCAAUGAUUAAUGACAAUAUUUAUCUAUAAGCCUUGACUAAUCCUCGUGCCAGCAGUCGCGGCAACACGAGUAAGUCUAGUGUUAUUCAUCUUUAUUAGGUUUAAAGCGUACCUAGACAGUAUAUAAAAUUUAGAUAAAUGCAAAUAUACUUGAGUUUUAUGUGGGAGGAAGAUAUGAGUAUUAUUAGAGUAGAGAUAAAAUACUUUGAUCCUAAUAAGACUGAUAAAGGUGAAGGCAAACCUCUAUAUAAAAACUGACGUUGAGAAACGAAGGCUCGGGUAGUGAAAAGGAUUAGAUACCCUUGUAGUCCGGGCAGAAAAUAAUGAGUGCCAUAGAUUAUAUAACUGUUAGUGGUCUAUAAAUUAAAGUGUAAGCAUUCCACCUCAUGAGUAAAGCGGCAACGCCGGAAUUGAAAUCAUUAGACCGUUUCUGAAACCAGUAGUGAAGUAUGAUAUUUAAUUCGAUGAUCCACGAAAAACCUUACCAAGAUUUGAAUUACCUAUGUUUAGUUUAUUUUUUUUUUUAAUAAUUCUAACUUAAUAGGGUUUAAAGGUAACUUUAAACAAACAGGUGUUGCACGGCUGUUUUUAACCAAUGUUCUGAGACUUUCUUAAAAUUGGUGAAAUCCCUUUCUCUAAUUAAUAUUAGGGAAUUUUAUUCUUAUUUUUUUUUAACUAGGGGUUAAGGCAAGUCAUCAUGACCCUCAUUUUAUU